GUGCACUGGGCCGAGUGAUUUGACCGGGUACACAAUCAUGUCGUUCAGGUCUCCAACUUUUCGCAACUUUGAUUCGACUAUGAAUGCUGAACCUUGUAGCUGAGGCUUUCGUAUUCUGUUGCACCACCGGCAGAGGCGCCAAAUGCAGAAAAUAAUUGCGCCGAGGGCUAUGACGCCGACGACAUAAGCAACUGGGUCGGUGUCGCCUAAAAAAAAAAAAAAUAAAAUACAAGUUAUUAUGUUAUAAUUAUAUAAGGUUUAAAAAGAAUUCGGGCAAUUUUAUAUAAAGCACUGAAUGUAAUAUACUUCAACUAAAUGUGGCCCACUUAA